rnacentral:rRNA from 1 species
AUUGAACGCUGGCGGCAGGCCUAACACAUGCAAGUCGAACGGUAACAGGAAGAAGCUUGCUUCUUUGCUGACGAGUGGCGGACGGGUGAGUAAUGUCUGGGAAACUGCCUGAUGGAGGGGGAUAACUACUGGAAACGGUAGCUAAUACCGCAUAAUGUCGCAAGACCAAAGAGGGGGAUCUUCGGGCCUCUUGCCAUCGGAUGUGCCCAGAUGGGAUUAGCUAGUAGGUGGGGUAACGGCUCACCUAGGCGACGAUCCCUAGCUGGUCUGAGAGGAUGACCAGCCACACUGGAACUGAGACACGGUCCAGACUCCUACGGGAGGCAGCAGUGGGGAAUAUUGCACAAUGGGCGCAAGCCUGAUGCAGCUAUGCCGCGUGUAUGAAGAAGGCCUUCGGGUUGUAAAGUACUUUCAGCGGGGAGGAAGGGAGUAAAGUUAAUACCUUUGCUCAUUGACGUUACCCGCAGAAGAAGCACCGGCUAACUCCGUG